CUCAUGGCAAACUUGGACUUUGGCAGUAAUAAGCUCUGGCCCUCCCCGGUGCUUUGUGUUCUUGUGUCAAUACUGCCCCCGAGCCAUCUGUGUCCAAUAUGAAAGGGGAUUUGAAACCUGGGUAGGCCCAGACAGGAGCAGUCACAGGAGCCUUUGUCCAAAUCUGAGAAUGCUACGUCACAUUCUGCUGGCCACUGGAACAUCUCACCCAGCCUGCGCAAUGGAUUUGCAACACUGGCACAGGCACGGACAAAUCUUCUGCAAUAGAAGCAGAGCCCUACAAUGGGCUUUGGACCACUUAAACACCUCG